rnacentral:lncRNA from 1 species
UUUUUUUUUUUUUUUUUUUACAGUUUCUCUACUUUAAGAUAUGCUUUGUGUGUGUGUGUGUGUGUGUGUGUGUGUGUGUGUGUGUGUGUGCCUUUACCUUCAACCUAGUGCCCAAAUAAUGACCAGAUAGGUGUUUUAGCUUUGUAUCUUCUUGAUCUGAAACAGGUUUUUCAUUCUCUUAUUCCCCUUUUGGUCCUCACUGUAUUGACAUUUCUGAAGAGUUCAGAUCAGUUUUGUAGAAUGAGUCAUAACUUGGAUAAGUCCUGUUAUCUUCUCGUUGUAAAUCUCAGGAUGAGCUGGUUUUGUGACUAUAGCUUAUGAGUGAUGGUGUGUUCAGAUCAUGGAUGGAGUGGGAGUGGAUCACCUACAUUCUUGCUUCACAUUUUUCUUUUGUUUUCUCAGGCAGAGGUCAGCAGAUCAUGGCCCGUGGGCCUGAUUUAACCCCCUGCCUAUUUGCGUUUGUCCUGGGAAUUAAGAAUGACGUUUACUUUUUUAUGGGGCUGAAAAACAAUAAAAAGAAUGUUUUUGUGAAAAGUGAAAGUGACAAGAAAUGAAAAUGUUUGUGUCAGUGACUAAAGCCUUCUUGGAACACAACCACACACUUGUUUACACUAGAUUUGCACUAGAACUGCAGUUACUUAGCAUAGUAUGUCUGAGAUGUUUUCAUAUAUGACCCAUGGGAAACUCCCUUCUGAUCUCUGAUCUAUGGAAUUAUAACACCUGAUGCCAUUCUCUAAGAGGCCAAUAGACUGCAAAGUCAAUGGGACAUAGAACAUGCAAGCUUCUCUUUCUAGUUUUUUUCACAUUGUCAGUUUCAGUUCCAUGAAGAGAUCCAUUGACAUUCUUUUCUUUUUUGUUUUUUGUUUUUCGAGACAGGGUUUCUCUGUGUAGCCCUGGCUGUCCUGGAACUCACUUUUGUAGACCAGGCUGGCCUCAAACUCGGAAAUCCGCCUGCCUUUGCCUCCCAAGUGCUGGGAUUAAAGGCGUGCGCCACCACCACCUAGCUCCAUUGACAUUCUUAAGUCACAGUAUACUGUUAUUUUCUAAGACAGAGGUCAGCCAACAAUAGCCAUGGACCAAAUAGAUCUUUACUUUCGACUUGUAAUUUUAGAAAAACAUAAAGUGUACUUUGUUUUAUAAACAAAAAGAUUGUUCUACAUCAUUAACCUAAGGAUUUGAAUUUAGUUAGUUACAGAUUGGAUAUUACUGAUUGAUUUGGAAUUUAGUCAGUUACAAAUUGGAUAUUUAGUGCAACCAAGACCACAAGAAAAAUUGGUGCACCAUAAACUCAGUGUACCAAUAAAUUGAGACCUUUUCUCUAAAGCAGUGUUAAGCCAGGCUAUUUCACUAUCAUGAUUAUUUAUCUAUUUGUUUUUCAACCCAAACAUUCACACACACACACACACACACACACACACACACACACACACACACACACACAUUUUCAUUUCCUGGUCAUAUAUAAAAAGUUUCAUAAGCCAAGGAAAUAGCCAUCCAUUUGAGAUCCUGUUGUGGUUGUGGGUAGACACUCUCAUUGAGUAGAAGAGUUCAAUGAAAUUAGUCCUGUAGUUCAUCCACUGAUUUGAUGCAGGCAGCUCUGUCACAUGUACAGCAAGAUAAUGGUCAAGCAAACCAUACAGAUGCUUCUUUUAAAACAGCUACAUGCUUUCCACACAGCAAUUACUUCUGCAUUUGAGACUUGCCACCCAUUUGCUUGUCCCAAGGAAAAUGAUAUGAUAUACAUAGAUCAGGUCCAUGAUAGGUUUCUUGAGCAAUGGCAUGCUGAUUAAUAAUGCCUGGAGACCAUCUGACUCUCCCUUAUGGACUCCCACCAAAGCAGAAAGUAUGCAGUUUGUUCCUCCCUGUGCUUUGAAGUUAAUCAGAGUUUGCAUAAUGCAACCUUCCUUCAGUCCUUUUCCAGGCAGCAUGCAUGCAAAACUUGGAUGGUGUCCACACAUGUGAGAUUGUUUUAGUUCGGUAUGACUGUUACGAGAAAAUAGUUUACUCUGGGAAAUUUGUAAACAAGAAUAUUUGUAGCAAGACAAUCUGGAAGCUGAGAAGACCAAGAUUGGGGCAACAGAAGAUUCAGUGUCUGGUGAGAUCCUUUGCUCUGCUUCAUUGAUGGGUGUUCUCUGUGCUUCCUCACAGCGAGGGGUGCUGAACAAGCCCCCCCCCCCCCAGCCUUCUAUGGGCAGUUAUCUCCUUCACAACUUACUCACCUUCCAAAGACUUGUAUUAGUUCUGUUGCACUGGGGACUAGGCUUGAACAUGCAAAUUUAGAGAUACAGACAUUGAAAACACAGCACAGGCAUUUGCAGGCAUUGGGGCAAUUGUCAAUAAGCAGUUUCCAGUGAAGAGUCUACUUGGCUCUCUUCUUGCCACGCAAGAAAGGGAACAACAGAGUUGAUUAGAGUGAUAUGGUUUUAAAGGCAGUUUAAGAACAUUCUAAUUUGUUUUUUAAAGUUCUUUUUAAAGUUUUGUAUGUUAUGAUUGAUUAACAACCUUGUAACAUCAUAUUUAAGACACACUAAAUAGGAGAUGCCCCAAAGCACAGAGAAUGAGCCCUAUGCAAAACACUGUCUGAGCAGCCCCAGUUUAUCUACAACCGUGAGGAAUUUGAGCUGUGGGGAGUAAGCUCUUC